GAUUUUAUUUUUGUGUUGGUCUUAUAGGUAUGGUGGCGGUCUGUGAAGGAUUAAUAAGGUUUUACUUUUUUUUAGUUUACUUAGAUGGGCAAUGUUUUUUUACCCUGUUGUUUUAUUUUUUGUAUUAGAGGGGUUCCAGAUUAAUCGGCUAGGCCUCGUAAAUUUUGACUUUAAGUUAGUUGAUAUUGGGGGUUUGUAAUUUUUUUUUGUGACCUUUGGUGUAAUUAUGGGAUUUUUAUAGUUUGUUAUCUUAAUAUUAAAUUAUAGUUAAGUGACCCGGGUUAGAAACCGGUUAAUCUAUUUUUAUUAGAGCAGAAGUAACUUGAUAUUUAAACUGAACACAUAUUGGCAGGUUUUUGAUUUUUCUUUGGGGGUUGACUGUUAAACGAGAGUCCUCGUUAUUUACUUAGGUUUUUGGCUUAUGUAUGUUUGUUUUUUUUUAGGUGUUGAGCAUUUAAAUUUAUAUUUUAUUUUUAUUAAUUGCAGGUAUAUAUUUAGUUUAUAUUUAUAGUUUAGGUUGAGCCACAUUGUAUAAUAUUUAUCUUGCUUGGGGAUAGUGAUAUUUUUUUAGUAUUGUAAAAGAAAGUAAUUUAAUUUUUAUUAGUUUUAGUGAAUUUUACUUGGAAACGGUACAAAUCAUCCAUCAAUUGUCUAAAGGGGAGUAAGUUGUAGUAAAGUAGGGUAAGAGGAAUCUGACCCUAGAGUUUUA
rnacentral:ncRNA from 1 species